rnacentral:rRNA from 1 species
CCUACGGGUGGCAGCAGUGAGGAAUAUUGGUCAAUGGCCGGAAGGCUGAACCAGCCAAGCCGCGUGAAGGACGAAGGUGCCAAGCAUUGUAAACUUCUUUUGUCAAGGGACAAAAUCAGGCUCGAGAGCCUGACCGAGGGUACUUGAAGAAAAAGCAUCGGCUAACUCCGUGCCAGCAGCCGCGGUAAGACGGGGGAUGCGAGCGUUAUCCGGAUUUAUUGGGUUUAAAGGGUGCGUAGGCGGACUGUUAAGUCAGCGGGAAAAGCCCGGGGCUCAACCCCGGCGAGCCGUUGAAACUGGGUGUCUUGAGAUGUCGAGAGGUAUGCGGAAUGCGCGGUGUAGCGGUGAAAUGCUUAGAUAUUGCGCAGAACUCCGAUUGCGAAGGCAGCAUACCGGCGGCGAUCUGACGCUGAGGCACGAAAGCGUGGGUAUCGAACAGGAUUAGAUACCCCUGUAGUC